rnacentral:rRNA from 1 species
ACCGAUAUCUGGUUGAUUCUGCCAGUAGUCAUAUGCUUGUUUCAAGGACUAAGCCAUGCAUGCCUCAGAAUCACUGCACUGCAGGAAUCUGCGCAUGGCUCAUUACAUCAGACGUAAUCUGCCGCAAAAAUGUUGCGGUCUCCGCAAAAUUGGAUAACUUGUUGGCGAAAAGCCAAGCUAAUACAUGAACCAAUCGGACAUUCUCCACUCAACGCGGUGCGGUUUCGGCCGUACCGUAGAGAGGUGUCCUGCGAAUGAAUGAAAUUAAAACCAAUGCCGCGGACGCGGCAGCAACACCCAGAAGUGUUGAAUCAAUUCAUUCCGUGCGUAAGCCGAUUUAUCGGCGCUUUUUGACGAAACAACUGCCCUAUCAGCCAGUGAUGGCCGUGUAGUGGACUGCCAUGGCGUUGACGGGAGCGGGGGAUUAGGGUUCGAUUCCGGAGAGGGAGCCUGAGAAAUAGCUACCACUUCUACGGAGGGCAGCAGGCGCGCAAAUUGCCCAAUGACAAGAAAAUUGUUGAGGCAGCAAAAAGAAAUAGGCCUUCCCCCCUUACGGGGUUCGGAAGUUACAAUGGGGGAUAUUUACACCCAUCCAAUAUCGAGUAUCAAUUGGAGGACAAGUCUGGUGCCAGCACCCGCGGUAAUUCCAGCUCCAAAAGCGUAUAUUAACGUUGUUGCUGUUAAAGGGUUCGUAGUUGAACUGAGGGUUGCCAAGGAGAGGUUCCGUCCCAUUCGCUUUUGAAUGCGUGACCCGCCACUCUUGGAACUCGUGAACAUUCGAAACAGAGCACGGGAUCGGUUUCUUCCCAAUUUACGCGUGUCAUGCACGCUGGGGGACGCCCGUGAUUUUUACUGUGACUAAAAAAGUGCGACCAAAGCAGUCGUUCGACAUGAAUUAGAAAGCAUGGGAUAACAAAGCAUCAACCUACGGUACUACCGGUUUGGCUUUUUGUUGGUUUUAAAAGUCUGUGGGAGAUUAUGGAUUCGCAUGACCGGCGGUCGGGGGUCGUCCCCGCGCUUUUUGCUUUGUGGGGUUCGCCUUGCAUUGUAGACUCGGGCGUCCAGGAAUGAAGGAGGGUUGUUCGGGGGAGAACGUACUUGGGCGUGAGUGGUGAAAUACUUAGACCGCCCAAAGACGAACUACAGCGAAGGCAUUCUCCAAGGAUACCUUCCUCAAUCAAGAACCAAAGUGUGGAGAUCGAAGAUGAUUAGAGACCAUUGUAGUCCACACCACAAACGAUGACACCCAUGAAUUGG